GUAUAGGUUUUUGUAAGGCAAAAAAGGCCUACUUUAUUACAUUCUAUAACAUAAGUGUAUAUGAAGGAACAUAGAUUUGGAAAUGUAAGGAGAGACCAAAAAGUCAAUCCUCAAAACCUGAAUUACAUUCAGAAAGAUAUCCAAAGUCUACAAGAGGUGCACAUGUGAAGAUAUAAAGAUGACAAAGUGUGCACAUGCUCCCUAGAGAGCCAGCAGCAACUUAUCAGGUUUAUUUCAAUAAUGAUCCUUCCGCAGGUUCACCUACGGAAA
rnacentral:misc_RNA from 1 species